AAUUCUGGUGCCCCGUCCACUUGCACCUGUUCCAGGACGCUUAUUCUACGAUCGCUGACCCCUCGACUACUUGCGCGAACAACAUUGACUCGAAAAAAACCGGUGUCUUCUUCCGCGGUCAACUUAUCGGAGAAAACCAUUCUGUGUUCCUCGGUUGACACGCGGCUGAGUCCACUUGACUGUAUUGAGAGGGGACAAGGUUUCGAGGAGCUUUAGACCAAUCACAGCACAGAGAAGUGACGCAAUUUAUAGCGCGCGCCGGCUGAAUUUCUACGAAUGUUCUCCCAUCAUUUCGCUCUCACACCGCAUUUGUAGUUGGGAAAAAAAAAAAAAAAAACGGCACUAAAAAGUAUAAUGACUAAAACGCAGCAGAAUAUGCUGCUUUGUUGCAUUGAAGAAAAUCCCAUUUUUUUUUAGAGGAAAGUUGACUCAGGACUUCACGGCUAAGAAUAAAAGAGAGAUGUGGGACGUGAUUGCGUACAAUCUAAACGCACAAGGAGGAUGUACCAAAACAACAGAAAAAUGCAUAAGAACAUGGAUUGAUUGGAAAUGUUCCGUGAAAAAGAAGGCAGCCGAAAUAACAGUUUCACAAAAAAAAAA